rfam:Brassica rapa chromosome A2, whole genome shotgun sequence.
GUAUCUUCAAAGACAUCUUAUAAAAUUGGAACGAUACAGAAAAUAUUAUCAUGAUCUUGCGCAAAGAUGACACAUAAAUCGAGAAAUAGUCUAACUUCAA